CGUCUCACCUGUGGUCACGAGUUGUUAGUUCGUUCGUGAUGUAGGAAUUCAAGCUUUCGGGCGGAAGCUAUGGUCGACGCCAGAGGCCACGAGUCGUUUAAUUUAAGUUAGGUCAUAAUGUAGUCGUCAAGCUUUCGGGCGGAGGCUAUGGCCCUCGUCAGGGGUCACGCGUCAUAGUUUUUAAAAUGUAAUGUUCGUUCGGGAUUUCAAGGGCAGGAGAGGCCCCUACGUUAUUUUUUUAAAGUAAUCGAUCAAGAAAGGCUUUUCGGAAAAUGUGAGUAUGGACUUAUCUUUGUUUUAAUUUUAAGUAUUAAUUAUGAUUUGAGGUAUUCGGAAGGACUAGGGAAGUGUUUAGUGAAGUUCUCUCAUUCUCUCUCUUGUAAGGUCGUUCAAUCGUUAAGGAAGUAAAGAGAUUAUUGUUUUAAAUUGUAAUCCCGCUAUUUAAAUGUUCUUUAAAAUGAUGUUGAGUAUUUGACUUUAAGAAUAAAAUAAUUUUAAUUAAGUAUUAUGUUAUUUUGCAAAAUCUCCUUAGUUCAGCUCUCACCAGACAUCCUGUACGGGAUGACGAACCUAUGAUCCUAGGUACAGUAAAGUAUUUUAUGAAGUUAAGACUAGUUGAUGCCAAGCGAGUUGUUUCUAUGUAAAGAGCUACGAUUCUCUCCCCCCUCUGAAGGUGGAUCGUGACAGAAAUGGCGGUGGCACCGGCUAGGUGCACGUGACAGAAAUGGUAGAGUUCGCCGGAUAGGUUCUAUUUCUGGAGAGAGAGAGAGGUAGAUUUUUAUGUUUAUUAUUAAGUUAGUUUCAGCUUCUGAUAGCAGGUUAUUAAGAGUUUACUUGAGGAGAGGAUUACGGAAUUUAAUCUAAGUGGAGGAAGUCUUUGAGAUUUUUUUUUGACGUAACAUAUGUUUAUUUGAGUAUACUUGUAAGGAUAAAGUUUAUAGUGAUAAGUUGUUUUAAGUCGUUGAGUUUAUCAGGGAUUUUUACGUGAGGAGAAUACGUUAUAAUUUAAAUGAUUAAUAGAGAUAAUGCAAGUGGUUUAAUUUAAUUGAAAUUAAUUUUAAGAUUGUAGGUUAAGAGAGUUAAAAUUUAAAAUAAAGUUUUUUUCGUAAAUAGGAAUUAUUUUCAAGUGAAGUUUGUUUUGCUGUCGUGCGCGUAGGAGACGAGACGUACGAAUUAAAUCAGUCGAGGGAAGGAUAAACGUUAGAAAGGAAUUAAAGAGAAAACGAGAGUUUAUGUAAAAGAGAGUUAUAGAAUUUAUAGUGAUGUUUUGUUUUAAUUAGAAAAAUGUUGAGAGUUGUUUCAGAACGACACGUCAGUGGACGUGGCAGAAUGAACACGAGACGGGGAGGUGCUGAGACCUAGCGGAGAACGGAGGAACCGCAAGCGAGGGUUGGCGCACCUGAUGGAAUUCGGUGACGUCACGGGCUCAUAAGGAGACGUGGACAGGCCGUGACCUUGUUUUGAUCAGCUGUACGGUAACUUAGCGAUAAGAAAAUAGACUAUUGGUUAAAUAAAUUUAAAUUUAAGUGUGUUUUAGAAGAAGAGGAACUUUCAGUAUAUUCCUUAAGAUGAGCUGAGCAGCAGUCCAGUUUACAAGAUGACAAGAGUUCGAGAGACAAGAUACAAGAUCACUGAAACAAGAGCCAAGACUGAAGAUUCAAGAGAAGAGAAAGCUGGCAGCCAUGGACUUACAAGUGGAGAUUAAUAAGGUCAUGUAAAGUUUUAUUUUUUUUUAUGGAAGACAGUAACUGGAGUUUUUUUUUGUUAUAAACAUUAUUUACAGAACUUUUUAGGUUAUAGUAAUGUAAUGGAACUAGUGAGUUGUGGUAGCUGUCAAAAAGAACUAAUACCUUAAGUUUAAUUUUUAAAGUUAAUUUUCUUAAUUUACAGAGGGAUUAGUAGUUUUUUUUAAAACCUUAUUUAGGUUGGAAUUUCAAUACAAUAGCUUAUUAUAAAUGUGUACGAACAGUUCAAGUUCACAGUACUGAUAGGUAGGUCAGAUGAUCUUAUUGAUUUUGAUGAUUUGUUGUUUUGAGUUGAUUUUUAGGUGUUGUGAAUUAGACAAUGAAAUAGUUUUGAAAACUUAAAUUAUUUCAAGCUAAGAAAUAGUAAAUUUAAUUGUAACUCAAAGGACACCAGAAUUUAAUUUUUUUUUGAAUUAGUAAUGUUUGAAAAUUUUAUACUUUACAAGAAAGGUUAUAAACAAACAGAUCGGAUGGAACAAGGAUGCAGUAAAUCACAAUUUCAUUUAGAAUUAUUGAUUAGCUUUUGAGGUUAUGAAGUAAAAGUAAUUAUAGUUUAAAAGUUUGAAUAAAAAAAAAAAAUGUUUUUUUUUUUUUUUUUAUUUGUUUGAAAUAGAAAGUUUAAAAGUUAAUUAGUCAUGAUCUAGGUGGGUGAUGGGGUGGGAAUUGGCCACUCUUUUUCCCUAUAACCUCCCUAACAUGGCCUUCUAUUACAACUAACAGAAAUAAAGAAGAAGAAAAAUGAAGAAUUAUUAGUUAGAAUGUUUCUUUCAUGAAGAUACCUGAUGAACUUUUACUGUUUGGAAGAAUAGAAGCAAGGUUAGUCAGAUAUUUUUACUCGGAAGAAGAAGAAGAUAAAGCAGUUUUAUGACUCGACAAGCCAGAGAUUGGUGUUUCCCCUCUGCGCUUCUAUUGACUACGUUGUUUACUCUCAUGGGAUAGCUGGUUCGGCACCAUGGAGAGAGAUUGGUGGGCAUUGUGGUUGCCCCCAGAAGAAAAGAAGAGUAGAAGAGGUUAUGGGUGGGUCAUGUGAACUGACCUUCAACCCAGUUACUUCGUGGGGACUAUUUGCUGUAUAGAGAAGAUCAAGACUCAAGAGUUAGGGAAAAUCAUUGGAGGUCAUGUUUCCCUUCCUUAAGUUUUUCCUAUGAAAUUAUUUUCCUGAUUAGAUUAUGCUAAGGGUGGGAUACUUUAUGUUAGCAGUGGAAUUAAUUAAUUUUUUUUUGUGUGUAUGCAUCCUUGCCCAUCGAUUGCAGUUUAGAUGUCAGUUCGGUAUUUGUAAGACGUGUUGGUAAUGCCUGUUGAUGAUGUUUCAGAAUUGUAAUCUGUUCGUGAUGAGGAUGGCACAACUCCGAAGCAGAUGUGGGGAGAAGUUGUGAGCUGCCCUGGAAGCCAGUCCAGUAGCUGUUGGAGUUGAGUGGUGUUUGCUGAUGGCCAGCCCAGGGAGCUACUCUUCUCGACAACACUGACUUCGAGGAGUUGCACCAACCUUCACGAGAUAAGAGUUUAAUUAAUUGAAACACUGUAAGGACACUUAAUUUUUUUUGAAGAACGAAAGAAGUAUGGUAAUAAACGGAAACCGAAAAAAAAAAAA